GCUGAAGUAGGUCCCAAGGGUAUGGCUGUUCGCCAUUUAAAGUGGUACGCGAGCUGGGUUUAGAACGUCGUGAGACAGUUCGGUCCCUAUCUGCCGUGGGCGCUGGAGAAUUGGAGGGGGGCUGCUCCUAGUACGAGAGGACCGGAGUGGACGCAUCACUGGUGUUCGGGUUGUCAUGCCAAUGGCACUGCCCGGUAGCUAAAUGCGGAAGAGAUAAGUGCUGAAAGCAUCUAAGCACGAAACUUGCCCCGAGAUGAGUUCUCCCUGAGACUAUAAGUCUCCUGAAGGAACGUUGAAGACGACGACGUUGAUAGGCCGGGUGUGUAAGCGCAGCGAUGCGUUGAGCUAACCGGUACUAAUGAACCGUGAGGCUUAACCUUAC
rnacentral:rRNA from 1 species